rnacentral:lncRNA from 1 species
CUAAAUAACAUAAAAUCCGUAAACCUAUCUAAAUUCCCUAUAUUAACCACCUAAUCUAUCCUAAACUAACCAAAUUAGAGAGGAAUUAGAGAGGCUUACCAUUACCACGAAAUGGAGAGGAAGUGGAGAGGAAGUAGAGAGGAAAGAAAGAGUGAGCGCUCGGGGGUAUAUAUAAGAUUACAUAUCAUCGCAAUUUCCUUGUAAGGUUACGACGAAAUAGUGAGCAAUUACAAAGGCCCGCGUUUUAUUGUACGAGGAAAUAGCGAUGAAUUACAAAGGCCCGCGUUUCUAUAUACGAGGUAUUAACGACGAUUUUAAUAUCUUUGCAAAUUCCUCGUAAGGCUACGACGAAAUAGCGAGCAAUUACAAAGACCCGCGUUUUAUUGUACAAGGAAAUAGCGAGGAAUUACAAAGGCCCGCGUUUUUAUAUACGAGGUAUUAACGAGCCGCGCUUUCCUAUAAAUAUACCCACAACUCUCCUUCUCAAACCACACACAAACUCCUAAAUCACACCCUAUCUCAAAUCACACUCCUCGGCAAAAUCCUAUUCAAAUUAUAAAUAUUUGAAAAAAAGGAAGAGAAGAAGAUAUUAGAAUUCAUGUGGGCGAGACUUCCGUAUUAUAAUUGCUGGAAGUCUUGCCACAUGUGAAUCUGGUACUUUUCUUCUUUUUCUUUUUUUUUCUAGUUUUUACACUACGAGGUAUUUACGACGAUUUCGUCCUACGUGGAAUUAACGAGGCCCGUGUUCUUUAUUUAUUUUACGAGGUGUUUACGACAAUCUUGUCCUACGUGGAUUUAACGGGGGUCGAUUUCUUUAUUUUUUAUUUCAUCGUUAUUUCCUCGUCUUCUUACGAGUGCUUUACGACGAUUCUCUCUUACGUGGAAUUAACGAGGCAUGCGUCGUAAGUUCGACGUCGCUUUACGAGGAAUUAACGAGUGUUAUGUUUAAAACCCUAAAAUCCGAAACCCCAAACCCCAUAUUCCUUAUUUUCUACUUCAUAUAUUCCAAACCCCAUCUUUAUUUCCAUUCAACCACAAUUCC